UUCUUCCCAACUUCCCAGAGCCCUCCCUUCUCUCAACCUCUCCUUCUCAGCCACCUUCCCUUCCCUCAAACUCUCGACCACCCGCCCUCUCCAGGGUGGCGCCAAAAUGUCAGCCACAGCCGCUUCCAGCUACGCUUUAGCUUUAGCCGAUGUGGCUAAGUCCAACAACACCCUGGACUCCACCAGCUCCGACAUUGAACAAGUCGAGAAAAUCUUCUCUGACCCUCAAGUCAUCGACUUCUUCGCCAACCCCACCAUCGACGCUAUCAAAAAACGUCAGGUUUUGGAUGAUAUAGUCAAGUCUUCCGGGCUUCAGCCUCACACUGCAAACUUUUUAAACAUCCUGGUGGAUGCCAAGAGGAUUGACAUUAUUAAGGAAAUUGUGAAAGAGUUCGAGUCGGU
rnacentral:lncRNA from 1 species